AGAGAAAAAGAAAGAAAAGAAAGAAAAAGUGUGCGCAGAGUUUCAGUGAGUUCUUCAGGGUUUCAGCCUGGAGUUCGGAAAGUGAGAAGGUGAGCUACGAGUAUCGUGAGUCCACCAAAUUUUAGAGAGAUCUCCAACAUCCUCUCAAGCACAUCUGCUGAUGAUUCAGAGCAUCCAAAAAAUCAACAGACAUCGAUCG
rnacentral:lncRNA from 1 species